rnacentral:lncRNA from 1 species
GUUCAGUAACUGUCAGAAUCAUCUGACACUGUAUCAUUUAAUAGAUGUUACUUGUACUAGUACAUGAUUAAAGUCAUCUGUAAUGCAGAUAUUGAAGGUCAAUGCAUUUUCUGAAGUGAUUUUUAAUGUGCAUUUUUCUAUGGUCCUUUUGAUAUGCCUCUUUUUAAGAAAAGUAUGGUUUAGUACUUCCAAAACCAGUUCAACAACACACCCAAGUGAAUGCUCUAAGAUCCAUACCUAUUCUUUGAAUAUCAUAGUGAUUUUUUGUCCUUUGAGGAAUUUGGUGGAUGUGGUUUUUUGUGUUUAAUUUUUUUUUCAUUGGCAUAUACCACAUCCUUAUUUUUGUGUUUUUUUUUCAAA